rnacentral:rRNA from 1 species
CAGCCGCCGCGGGAAAACGGAGGGAGCUAGCGUUGUUCGGAAUUACUGGGCGUAAAGCGCGCGUAGGCGGUUACUCAAGUCAGAGGUGAAAGCCCGGGGCUCAACCCCGGAACUGCCUUUGAAACUAGGUGACUAGAAUCUUGGAGAGGUCAGUGGAAUUCCGAGUGUAGAGGUGAAAUUCGUAGAUAUUCGGAAGAACACCAGUGGCGAAGGCGACUGACUGGACAAGUAUUGACGCUGAGGUGCAAAAGCGUGGGGAGCAAACAGGAUUAGAUACCCCUGUAGUCCCUGUCUCUUAUAC